GGCUCAGGACGAACGCUGGCGGCGCGCCUAAUACAUGCAAGUCGAGCGAGAAGACGUAGCAAUACGUUUGUAAAGCGGCGAACGGGUGAGGAAUACAUGGGUAACCUACCCUCGAGUGGGGAAUAACUAGCCGAAAGGUUAGCUAAUACCGCAUACGACUCUCGAUCUUCGGGUCGGGAGGGAAAGCGAUACCGUGGGUAUCGCGCUCUUGGAUGGGCUCAUGUCCUAUCAGCUUGUUGGUGAGGUAAUGGCUCACCAAGGCUUCGACGGGUAGCUGGUCUGAGAGGACGAUCAGCCACACUGGCACUGCGACACGGGCCAGACUCCUACGGGAGGCAGCAGUAAGGAAUAUUGCGCAAUGGACGAAAGUCUGACGCAGCGACGCCGCGUGGGGGAUGAAGGUCUUCGGAUUGUAAACCCCUUUCGGGAGGGAAGAUGGAGUGGGUAACCACUUGGACGGUACCCCCAGAAGCAGCCACGGCUAACUUCGUGCCAGCAGCCGCGGUAAUACGAAGGUGGCAAGCGUUGUUCGGAUUCACUGGGCGUACAGGGAGCGUAGGCGGUUGGGUAAGCCCUCCGUGAAAUCUCCGGGCCUAACCCGGAAAGUGCAGAGGGGACUGCCCGGCUUGAGGACGGGAGAGGAGCGCGGAAUUCCCGGUGUAGCGGUGAAAUGCGUAGAGA
rnacentral:rRNA from 1 species